rnacentral:misc_RNA from 1 species
GAUGAAGAACGUAGCGAAAUGCGAUAAGUAAUGCGAAUUGCAGAAUUCAGUGAGUCAUCGAAUCUUUGAACGCACAUUGCGCCCUGUGGUAUUCCGCAGGGCAUGCCUGUUCGAGCGUCAUUUCAACCCUCAAGCCUCGCUUGGUGUUGGGCCCUGCCCGCCGCGGCCGGCCUUAAAGAUAGUGGCGGCGCCGCCUGGCCCUCAGCGUAGUACAGCUCUCGCUCCAGGGUCCGGCGGCAGCCUGCCAGAACCCCCCAACUCUGUGGUUGACCUCGGAUCAGGUAGGGAUACCCGCUGAACUUAGGCAUAUCAAUAAGCGGAGGA